UAUAGUAUUUAUGGCUGUUUCAAAGGCACUAGAUCCUAUGUGAUCUUUGAAGCUAAGCAAAGUCAGCCCUGAUUAGUACAUGGAUGGGAGACUGCCAAUGAAUACAGAUGCUGUAU
rnacentral:rRNA from 1 species